GACGAACGCUGGCGGCGUGCUUAACACAUGCAAGUCGAACGGAAAGGCCCUGCUUUUGUGGGGUGCUCGAGUGGCGAACGGGUGAGUAACACGUGAGUAACCUGCCCUUGACUUUGGGAUAACUUCAGGAAACUGGGGCUAAUACCGGAUAGGAGCUCCUGCUGCAUGGUGGGGGUUGGAAAGUUUCGGCGGUUGGGGAUGGACUCGCGGCUUAUCAGCUUGUUGGUGGGGUAGUGUCUUACCAAGGCUUUGACGGGUAGCCGGCCUGAGAGGGUGACCGGCCACAUUGGGACUGAGAUACGGCCCAGACUCCUACGGGAGGCAGCAGUGGGGAAUAUUGCACAAUGGGCGGAAGCCUGAUGCAGCAACGCCGCGUGCGGGAUGACGGCCUUAGGGUUGUAAACCGCUUUCGCCUGUGACGAAGCGUGAGUGACGGUAAUGGGUAAAGAAGCACCGGCUAACUACGUG
rnacentral:rRNA from 1 species